AGAAUCAACGCUGGCGGCGUGCCUAACACAUGCAAGUCGAACGAGAAAGUGGAGCAAUCCACGAGUAAAGUGGCGCACGGGUGAGUAACACGUGACUAACCUACCCUUGAGUGGGGGAUAACCUAGGGAAACCUGGGCUAAUACCGCAUAAUACCUUCGGGUCAAAGGAGCAAUUCGCUUAAGGAGGGGGUCGCGGCCGAUUAGUUAGUUGGCGGGGUAAUGGCCCACCAAGACUAUGAUCGGUAUCCGGCCUGAGAGGGCGCACGGACACACUGGAGCUGAAACACGGUCCAGACUCCUACGGGAGGCAGCAGUGGGGAAUUUGCGCAAUGGGGGAAACCUGACGCAGCAACGCCGCGUGGAGGAUGAAGUCCCUUGGGACGUAAACUCCUUUCGAUCGGGACGAUAAUGACGGUACCGAGAGAAGAAGCCCCGGACUAACUCGCGCCAGCAGCCGC
rnacentral:rRNA from 1 species